UUGACAGAAGCCAAAACUUAGAGGCACACCACUGUUAAUGGUCUAAUUGAAAUUUUUUUUCCUGUCAAG
rnacentral:tRNA from 1 species